UACGUAGGGGGCAAGCGUUGUCCGGAAUUACUGGGCGUAAAGAGCUCGUAGGCGGUCUGUCGCGUCCGUUGUGAAAACUCGAGGCUCAACCUCGGGCUUGCAGUGGAUACGGGCAGACUAGAGUGCGGUAGGGGAGAUUGGAAUUCCUUGGUGUAGCGGUGGAAUGCGCAGAUAUCAGGAGGAACACCGAUGGCGAAGGCAGAUCUCUGGGCCGUAACUGACGCUGAGGAGCGAAAGCGUGGGGAGCGAACAGG
rnacentral:rRNA from 1 species